rnacentral:rRNA from 1 species
ACGUGAUUUUUGUGGAAAUUCUUUCGGGAAUGGAAGCGAAAUGAAAGUGGCGAACGGGUGAGUAACACGUGAGCAACCUACCUUACACAGAGGGAUAGCCGUUGGAAACGACGAUUAAUACCGCAUGAGACCACAGAAUCGCAUGAUAUAGGGGUCAAAGAUUUAUCGGUGUAAGAAGGGCUCGCGUCUGAUUAGCUAGUUGGAAGGGUAAAGGCCUACCAAGGCGACGAUCAGUAGCCGGUCUGAGAGGAUGAACGGCCACAUUGGAACUGAGACACGGUCCAAACUCCUACGGGAGGCAGCAGUGGGGAAUAUUGCACAAUGGGGGGAACCCUGAUGCAGCGACGCCGCGUGAGCGAAGAAGGUUUUCGAAUCGUAAAGCUCUGUCCUAUGAGAAGAUAAUGACGGUAUCAUAGGAGGAAGCCCCGGCUAAAUACGUGCCAGCAGCCGCGGUAAUACGUAUGGGGCGAGCGUUGUCCGGAAUUAUUGGGCGUAAAGGGUACGUAGGCGGUUUUUUAAGUCAGGUGUGAAAGCGUGAGGCUUAACCUCAUUAGGCACUUGAAACUGGAAGACUUGAGUGAAGGAGAGGAAAGUGGAAUUCCUAGUGUAGCGGUGAAAUGCGUAGAUAUUAGGAGGAAUACCGGUGGCGA